GUUUCCCUUAUUUUAUGCCACUUCAAACUAUCUUAACUACUUAUGUUAAUUCAUUUAUGGAUUUAUUUAGAAUUUAGAUGCAUAUGCUGUUUGUGCCUUCUACUAGGGUGAAUGUGUGCUAGUCAUUGAUAUCAAAAGUAGGUUGUUUUAUUCACUUCCAACUUCUGUGAGAAUUUCAACUGAAAGUGUAGUACUAGGUUGCUAUUGCAAUUCUUAUUUGUGCUCCGUAAUGAGUAACUUACAGUACAUCCAUUGGCAUAACUGAAAGAGGCCAAGAAUCAACUAAUGAUUCUUUAACAUUUUUGAAAAAUCCAAGAGGAUGACUAAUUAGUUGCAAUGAACAUUGGAGUCCUUGUGCAACCAACACCUGAAAUCUUGUACGUGUCAGGUAUUUUGAUCACUUAAGUCAUGCCCUUAG
rnacentral:misc_RNA from 1 species